AUUUGACUUCCUUGAUGACAUGUGAUUUAAGUAAUACUCCUCUACAUAUAAAUAGGUGAAGGCACGUAAAGCACUUUAAUCGAAAAAUUCACCUUCGAUUAUCGUGUAUUGCAGUAUAUAGAACGUUUCCAGAGGAACCAUGUCUGGAGUCAAGGGACAGAAGAAAUGCCCAGAUCCAUGCCCAGAUCCAUGCCCAGAUCCUUGCCCACAACCAUGCCCACCACAGAAAUGUCAGGAUCGUAAGUAUCAUUUUACAUCUUCUAAGAAUUUAACAUAUUUCUCAAACCAAGCAUUCUAUCGUAAAGUGUAAUUUAUAUUCCCAUGGUCUACUAUACAUCUGUUAAAUUACAGAUACAUUAUCAAGACAUCUCUAAAUUAGAAUUAGUUAUACAUAUUCCAUAAUUGGCAAUUUCGACAAAUAGAUAUGAAAUAACUAUGAAAUCCAAAAACUGAGUGCAGUUGGUGAUAAUACCUACUGAGUUAUUCAAUAAAUUUUAGUCAAUUAAGUCCAAAUUGCAAAACUGAGGCCGAAUGAACCAAGCUGUAACUAUAACUGUUGGAGAAUUUUAUAAAAUCAGGUAAUUUAGCCACAGUUGAGCAAUUUAGAUUGAUAUCUCUAAAAUUUGGUGUUUUGGAUAUAAACCUGAGGAUGCUGAGUACAAUUGUUGCCUAGGUGGGACAUCCAAGCCAGAACAAUUCCCACAGUAAUGUUUUUAUAGUCCUAUCACAGCACUAGAGUAUAAAUGGCAUUUUAAAGAAAUGAUUUUGUUAAGACAAAAAAAAGCUGUAUUUUUAAAAUCAGAUUCAAUUACAUUUUGACAUACAAUCAUAUACAAUUUAUUCUUAUACUACAAAUUACAACAGGGAAUUAUUAAAACUGCAUAAUAUGAUCAUUUAUACAGAUUUAAGCUCUGAAAUAUAAAAAAACUUAUCUUUUUGAUAUUUUCUGUUGGUAAAUAAUUUCUUUGGAUCUGAAAAUGCAAAAGAAUACUAUAAUUGUAAAAAUACAUUAUAUUAAACAUUUUAAAAUGUCUCUGCAAUAACCUCUUUAUCUGUGUCUUAUUUUACAGCAUGUGACCCAUGCCCUCCUCCACCAUGCCCAGGUAAGCACGUGGCUUAUUGAAAUUACUUCUCCAGUUCCCUAUCUUCCCUAUCUUCUAAUUACAAUCGAUUUCACUUCUAAUUAAAUUAAAAUAGAAUUAAGCAUGCACAGCCAACAGACCAGUAGAAAUCCAAUAUUAAUUAAUAAAUACAUUUUAUAUAAACUAAUACCAUGUUUACUGUAAAGGUGAUUUAGAUCCAAGUCCAUAGGUGGUUUACUUAAUACGAUGAUAAAUUAUUAAUAAUUGUACUUUGAUCUUAUUUUGUCUACUGGAACAAUGCUACAUGUUCACUUAGUUUUAGAAAUGUGUUAAGUGUAGAGCUUACAUUUUUCUUCUUAAGGAAUAAUAUUUGAUCAUUGAUAUUAAUAAUUUGUUUGACGUUUGUAAGGGAUACCUCAGAGGUAGAUAAACCAAUGGAUGAAACAGCAAGCUUACUUUGUCUCCUGAUCAUAAUGUGUCAAUUUCCAUUUUAGAUCCGUGUAAACCAGUUCCACAGCAGUGUCAGCAAGACGUGAAAUGCGUGAAGAAGUAUUAAUAAGAAGAGGCCAUCCGAUGAUGGAAGCUGUCCACUGCUUGACCAAGAUGAUUCCUGUUUACCCCUCACCUUCUUAAUGAGAUUAAUUUAAUUACAGAUUUUACGAUUUCCAUGAUAACAUCUGCAUUUGCUAGUUAAGACGCACUUUAUCCUUACUCACUAUGCCAAUAAAUCAUGAUUAAAAUGCAAUAUCUAAAA